AGGAUUAACGCUGGCGGCGUGCCUAACACAUGCAAGUCGAACGAGGUAGCAAUACCUAGUGGCAGACGGGUGAGUAGCGCGUGGUCAACCUACCGUUGAGUGGGGGAUAACUAGCCGAAAGGUUAGCUAAUACCGCAUACGUCUCCGAGGGGCAUCCCUUGGCGAUAAAAGGAGCAAUCCGCUCGAUGACGGGACCGCGUCCCAUUAGCUAGUUGGUGGGGUAACGGCCUACCAAGGCAUCGAUGGGUAGCUGGUUUGAGUGAGCGACCAGCCACACUGGGACUGAGAUACGGCCCAGACUCCUACGGGAGGCAGCAGUGAGGAAUUUUCCGCAAUGGGCGAAAGCCUGACGGAGCGACGCCGCGUGUGGGAAGAAGGCCUUCGGGUCGUAAACCACUGUCGAAGGGGAAGAGUAAUGACGGUACCCUUGGAGGAAGCCCCGGCUAACUACGCGCCAGCAGCCGC
rnacentral:rRNA from 1 species